UACGAAGGGGGCUAGCGUUGUUCGGAAUUACUGGGCGUAAAGGGCGCGUAGGCGGUUUCGUACAGUCAGACGUGAAAUUCCUGGGCUCAACCUGGGGGCUGCGUUUGAUACGUGCGGACUUGAGUGCGGAAGAGGGUCGUGGAAUUCCCAGUGUAGAGGUGAAAUUCGUAGAUAUUGGGAAGAACACCGGUGGCGAAGGCGGCGACCUGGUCCGAUACUGACGCUGAGGAGCGAAAGCGUGGGGAGCGAACAGG
rnacentral:rRNA from 1 species